rnacentral:rRNA from 1 species
UACGUAGGGGGCGAGCGUUGUCCGGAGUUACUGGGCGUAAAGGGCGCGCAGGCGGUCUGGUAAGUUUGGAGUGACAGUGUUCGGCUUAACUGAGCAAGGCCUUCGAAAACUGCUAGAUUUGAGUAUUUAAGAGGGACAUAGAAUUCCGGGUGGAGUGGUGAAAUGCGUAGAUAUCCGGAGGAAUACCAAAGGCGAAGGCAGUGUCCUGGGGAGUGUCUGACGCUCAGGCGCGAAAGCUAGGGGAGCGAACAGG